rnacentral:rRNA from 1 species
GGGGAAUAUUGCACAAUGGGCGAAAGCCUGAUGCAGCAACGCCGCGUGAGUGAUGAAGGUCUUCGGAUUGUAAAGCUCUGUCUUUUGGGACGAUAAUGACGGUACCAAAGGAGGAAGCCACGGCUAACUACGUGCCAGCAGCCGCGGUAAUACGUAGGUGGCGAGCGUUGUCCGGAUUUACUGGGCGUAAAGGGUGCGUAGGCGGAUGUUUAAGUGAGAUGUGAAAUACCCGGGCUUAACUUGGGUGCUGCAUUUCAAACUGGAUAUCUAGAGUGCAGGAGAGGAGAAUGGAAUUCCUAGUGUAGCGGUGAAAUGCGUAGAGAUUAGGAAGAACACCAGUGGCGAAGGCGAUUCUCUGGACUGCAACUGACGCUGAGGCACGAAAGCGUGGGUAGCAAACAGGAUUAGAUACCC